rnacentral:misc_RNA from 1 species
GGAAUCUUCCGCAAUGGGCGAAAGCCUGACGGAGCAACGCCGCGUGAGUGAUGAAGGUUUUCGGAUCGUAAAGCUCUGUUGCCAAGGAAGAACGUCUUCUAGAGUAACUGCUAGGAGAGUGACGGUACUUGAGAAGAAAGCCCCGGCUAACUACGUGCCAGCAGCCGCGGUAAUACGUAGGGGGCAAGCGUUGUCCGGAAUUAUUGGGCGUAAAGCGCGCGCAGGCGGUUCUUUAAGUCUGGUGUUUAAACCCGAGGCUCAACUUCGGGUCGCACUGGAAACUGGGGGACUUGAGUGCAGAAGAGGAGAGUGGAAUUCCACGUGUAGCGGUGAAAUGCGUAGAUAUGUGGAGGAACACCAGUGGCGAAGGCGACUCUCUGGGCUGUAACUGACGCUGAGACGCGAAAGCGUGGGGAGCAAACAGGA